rnacentral:lncRNA from 1 species
UUAGAUUAAGAUUUCCUUUCUAGUUGCAGGCGAGAAGACCUCUGGUCAGUUCUUCUUCAUUGCUUUUGUAUCAGCCCAUUUAUAUUCUUUUUCUAAUGAAUCUAUUUGACAUACUUCUUUUUCUUUCUUUUCUUUCUACUGUAAUGAUGGAUCUAUGCAGCAGAGAUUCUUUUUGAUGUGUUAAUCGUUUUUUAUAUUAUAGGCAACAUUGGUGACAGAUUAAAAUGUUCUUGUGCAGAAUUCCUA